UUGUGGUAUAAAUGUAUCCGUACGUUUAUUAAUUAAUGUGGGAAAAUAAUGUAUCAUUUCGGAUGAGUGCUCUAACUUGUUAAACUUUAAUUAUUUGUGCAUUAAUACACAUAUACAUUUCGACGAAAAAAAGAUCAGUAGAUAACUAAAGAAAACUUGAAUAGUAAACUCACCAUAUAUAAUCGUUAAAUCCAGUGGAUAAUAUUUAUAUUUAGACGACACACAUCAAAACUAUACCUGAUAACGCACAUGCGAAAAACAACAUUGUGCCCAAUAUUAAUGGAAACACGGAUCAUACCGAUAACGGAGUUUAUUCCGGAAAAAAUAAAUACUAUGAAAAAGAAAAAAAGAAACA
rnacentral:lncRNA from 1 species